AUUUCAUCUGCACAGAAAAAGAACUCUGGUAGCUUCUGCCAGACUUUCAGUAGGAAAUGCUUUAAAAACAAGCAACAGCUAUUUUGAGGACCGACUUUCUAAAAUUAUAUUCAGGAUUAAGCGGCUGUAACAUUGCCGUUCGCCGCCGAGGCUCCUGGUUUCAGCAUGUCUCCUUGGUUCCCGGCCAGCCUGGGUGUUCAGGUGGCAGCUGUGCCUGGGAGUGCCUCUCCAGCCCGCAUUCCUUGGCCAUGAAUUUUGCAGCCCUGCUUAUCUGAUGAAGACCUCCCCAGGAGGCAGCUCUACUCUUUUCCAGCUUGCUAAGGACACAGUGGGGAGAUGAUGAGCUAGGAAGAUUGCUCUCAUUGGAACUCAAAUGCUGGCACUCUGAUCUUGGAUGUCCAGUCACCUGAACUAUGAAAAAAUAAACUUCUGUUGUUUAAGCA